rnacentral:lncRNA from 1 species
ACAGGGUACACUCAGUGUGGGAACAUGCAAUCAUUGUCCACGUUAAUAAAAUGAGAAUCACAUAUGAUCAAUACAUUCGUAACUGAAAGUCGCACGGUGGCAUACCAAGGACCUUUCCGUCCUGGACCGAUUGAGCCGGCCCCUGGCGACUGGUUGCAACCAUAACUUUAACAUGAAAUCGCAUUGUGGCAUACCAAGGACUUUAAUGUCCUGGACCCAUUGAGCGGGCCCCUAGCGAUAUAAUUUAAUGCAACUCACAUAUGGUAAACACAUAAUAUUAAAAUGGACAAAGAUUAACCACAACAUGUACUGAAAUAAA